rnacentral:rRNA from 1 species
CUUACAAUGAAAAGAGCCCUUUUGGGCGCUCUUGUAAAGGUAGUGUUACUGUAAGGGUAAAUAAGAUUUGUUAGUCGUACCUUUUGUAUCAGGGGGAUUUAAAAGUAUAAGGAUAAUUUAGUCGAUUUAACUAGAUCUUUGUGUAGACUUGUAGUAGAAUUUAAUGGGGGUAUAGUUUAAGGGGCGACAGAUGUUCGGUAGUUUUGGUAUCUAAUUACUUUGGUUUACAGGGGGUAAAGCUCCUGUAUAUCUAUAAAAUACAUAGGUUUAUAAAACUAGGCUUUGAAUUAGCUAUGUUAAGAUAUUGUUUUUAAAAAUUUUUUUUUAGGUGGUAAGGUAGAUUAAUUUGGUGAAGAUGGAUUUUUUUAGUUUUCUGAAAAAAUGAAUUUAUGGAAUUAGCGAUGAAGUAUUAAAAUAACUCAAACUAGGUGGGAUAGUUUAGCAAAAACAUUUCUUUUUAGUCAAAAAAAAGUAAAGCCUGCCCGGUGCUGUGUAAACGGCUGCGGUAGUUUGACUGUGCGAAGGUAGCAUAAUCAAUUGUCUUUUAAUUGGGGGCUAGAAUGAAAGGUCAAACCUGCCUAGUAAGUUUGUAGGCUGGCAAGUAAAAUUAAGUAGAGGUAAGAAUUCCUUUGUCUUCUAGGGGACGAUAAGACCCUAGAAGCUUUAUUAUAGGUUAGAUAGUAGUGGUGUCGUGAUUUUUUUUUUACUGGGGCGGUAGCAAUAGUUAAACUAUUGUUUUUUGGGGGAUCCUUAUCAUUAAGAUAGUACAGAUAAGUUACUCUAGGGGUAACAGUACAAUAGUUUUGGAGAGAUCUUAUCGAUAAAUAUGCUUGUAACCUCGAUGUU